rnacentral:misc_RNA from 1 species
AAGUCGUAACAAGGUCUCCGUAGGUGAACCUGCGGAGGGAUCAUUACACAACAAAAUAGGAAGGCCUGGCCUUUUGGCCGGCUGAAAUAUUUUUUUCACCCAUGUCUUUUGCGCACUUGUUGUUUCCUGGGCGGGUUCGCCCGCCACCAGGACCAAACUAUAAACCUUUUUUUUUAUGCAGUUGCCAUCAGCGUCAGUAAAAACAAUGUAAUUAUUACAA